UACAGAGGGUGCGAGCGUUGUUCGGAAUUAUUGGGCGUAAAGGGCGCGUAGGCGGUGCGGUAAGUCACCUGUGAAAUCUCCUGGCUCAACUGGGAGCUUGCAGGCGAAACUGCCGUGCUGGAGUGUGGGAGAGGUGCGUGGAAUUCCCGGUGUAGCGGUGAAAUGCGUAGAGAUCGGCAGGAACACCCAGGGGGAAACCAGUGGACUGGGCAUGAGCUGACGCUCAGGUGCGAAAGCGUGGGGAGCGAACCGG
rnacentral:rRNA from 1 species